UCACUGCAGAGCGUGCCACUGUUCAAUGAUUCCGCUUUUUCGGUCGGUGAGGAAAUAUUAGGGUGAAAGGUUAGGCAACGUUAUAACUCCAAUGCCAGUAACAAAGCCCACAGUUCCCUUCCGGACACUACGACAGAUCGGUUACUAUACCCAAUCCUGAGAUCCACCGACAAGCCAACUUUCUCCAGCAGACGUGGGCGAGCCUGAACUGAAAUAGCAGACGCGCACGCACGGACCAAACGCCCGUCUCUACAGAUCUACUGUUUUAGACCAGAGGAGCAGAGCACCAUGGUUGUGUCCAAGGCCUGGACUUUACGCCAGCACUUCCAGGGUUUCCCCAAGGCUAGUGACUUCCAUCUGAAGGAGGAGACGCUGCCACAGCCCAAGAAUGGACAGGUGCUGUUGGAGGCUGUGUUCCUCAGUGUGGACCCUUACAUGAGACCCUACAGCCAGACGAUGAUGAAGGAGGGAGACGUGAUGAUUGGAUCCCAAGUUGCCAAG